GAAAGUCGUAUGCUUUGGAAGAAGCUUGUACAGUUUGGGAAGGGGUUUUUAUUGAUAAAAAAGAGUGAAGCUCCUAUUCUGAGAUUUUGACAUUCGCCUUUUGAUACGAAAAAAAAUUCUCCAGCUAUUUUGU
rfam:Erythranthe guttata cultivar DTN x IM62 scaffold_358_contig_6, whole genome shotgun sequence.